GGCGGGAAAAAAAAGGCGGGAAGGCGUCGGCUGGGGGAGCGCGUGCCGCCCUCUGAGGUGAUGGCCGCCAUGUUGGCGUCAGGGUGUUGUGUUGGGGUUUGCAUCUAUAUGUGGUGUUUUGCAAUGUUCUUGUAUGGAAAAUGGAAUUUCUCAUAGCACAACAUCUACGUCCUGGGCUCCUACAUUUGUCCACUACUGACUCAGACAAUAUUGCCUGUUUUAUUGCUAACGCUUUCUGCAGCAUCCUGGGUUUUCUUGGCAAGCAUCUCAUCCAAAUCACAACUGAUUUUUGGACCCUGCUUCGUUCCUUCAUUUCACAAACUGCUGCCUAUGGUGACAAAACAGCAGGAAGUAGAAAAUUAAGCUGGAUAUCUGUGAAAAUGAAGAGGUAAUCUUAGCAGUCCUUCGUAUCAACAGGAGCCCAAGCUUUGGCACUAGCAGAGCACACUAGAGAACAGUAAGUGCUGAUAUGGUUGGUGAUGAAAGGAAAAGCUUCUGAGAUCCGGGCUUCUUUGAACCAAGCAAGUCUGAGGAUUCACCAGGGACAGGAAAUGAGGAGUUUUUCUUCUGCAUCACUUUUCCUCAAAAAUUAAUUUGCAACAGAAUAGCAAAUACUGAGCUAGACAAGAGCCCAGUACUCCAACUGUUCCUUAACUAUGAAUCAAAUAAUAAUUAAAGACAUUUCUCAAGCUGUUGUACCAAUUAACUAAUCCUCAGUGUUGCACCAAGGAGGAAGGUACAGAGAGAUAAUUGUACAAAAGACUUGGGAAUCCAGGAUAAGAUUCACUCUAUGGAGCAUGGACAGAAAGUAUGAAUGAGCUUAAAGGGCUCAAAUAGCUGGGGAAGAAUAGAAAAGGUGAAUCAACUAAGAAGGCAGCAGAGGCCAAUGAAAAGUGAUGUAAAAGGGAAAAAGUAAAUGUGCAUUUCCAGUCUGGACCUUGCAGGGAAUAGCAGGUAUGGAUUCCUGAAGUAUCCACAAACUAAGAGCUGUUCGAUGUUCUAGUUACUGAGCUGUCAUCUUGUUCUGAAUCUGAUCCUAAGGCUACAAACUCUAGUACUUCGCUUUAAGGGAUGCUACUCUAAAAUGUCCUUACAGAACUAAUCAGAGCUAAUCAGUUCUUUGUUUAUACCUUCUCAUUAGCCGUCCUGCAAUGACUAUCACUGCAUUAAGUUACUGCAGCCAGAAUGGCAGUGAUGUGUAUUCCAGUGUUUCAUUUCAUCUCAAGUUGUGCUCAGUUAUUGCAUGGAAAAUUCUUUCCUGGAGAAGUGAUUUCAAAACCAAGCAUUCAGAAGUCACAAAGCCUGACCAGAAGUGAAGCUCUCCCUGUGAUAUUUUGGAUGUACUCUACAGAUGUAUCUAUAGAUUGCGGUCUUGUAACAUUAUCCUUAAACCAGAUAAAGUGAAGCUUAUGUUAAAACUAGUCACUUAAUUUAAAGCAUCCAACUGAUAGAAUCCAGGCCUCGUUACUUAGUGAAGAUUGUCAUUCAGUUGUACUUUUUGUGUUCUGACUUUUAGAUCUCUCCAGAUAUGGAUGUGAACCCUCCUGCCAGCCCAGCUGGUCAUACAGAAACACAGUUAGCUGCUGGGGUUACUGCAUGGCCACGCAGGGCAGAAAGGAGGGGCAGGAUCUGCCCAUCAGGGCAAGUCUUCUGUUUCUCAAUCCUAAGCCCAAGAUUUUGUUUUUCCUGCCACGUUCACUGUAAAACGAAUUAACAAAUUACAGCCUAUCACAUUCCCUAAAUGAGAUCUGCCAAGACCUUGGGAGAAAGUCACGCUACAGCUCUGAGAAUAACUUCAAUCAGGGAAGAAACUUGCAAAUUUUUUUUUUUCUCGAAAGCAGGUCCAGCUCUUCAAAGCCGAUAAUGAACCAGAGAGGCAAUAUUUGCCAGGAAAACAGUUUGCAUUGUUCUGAGAAGUGAUUUUUAAGAAGUUUAGCUAAUGAGUGUCAGGCGAUCAAACUGCCAGGAGAUACAAACUCAGCUGCCUGCUUUACCCGUGACCACAGAAGAUGGAGAUAAUGAUCUCUGCUGUUUAAAAGUACGCAGGGGCUGAGAUUUUAUUGCCUUGGAAUGUUUAAUUUCUCCAGCCUUAAAUGCCAUUUGCAUUUUAGUGUUUUUUUUUUUUUCCUUAAAAUACUUAAAACUGUAAACACCUCAUUGCUCAGUGACAUCCAGCUGUAGCAGAUUCAGUCUGAGGUAAUUACAGUCCUCCCUGUUCUUCACAUGCAUCUCCUCACCACUGCUGAAAUGCUGUUAGUUAUGCUCUAUAACUCUAAGUAUGAAAUGUUAUGAGAAUAUGUAUUUCCAACACACAUCCGCUCCCUCCUGCCCUGACACUGUGCACACGCUGAAACAGGACUCCAAAGCUGGCAUGUUUUUCCCCAGUAGAUGGCUGAUUUUCGUGUUCUUUUCAGUCUGAGAAGUCCGAUAGGAAUUCUUGUUUCCUUUGCAAGAGCAUGUGGAGGCCGGCGAGUUAAGCUCAAAUAACCACUGAGCCUUAACUGAGUGGCACAGAACAGAUCCCAGUUGUUCUGAACAUUUACCAUUAGGGGGAUGGGGUUUUCUUAGUAGUGUCUUUAAGACUGGUAACUCAUCAAUUUCAAAGCAGCACUGGUAGCUUUGCUAUCCCUCAAACUGUUGUCAUUUGAGUCUUUACUAUCCCAUAACCAGCAGAUUACCAGUGUUAAACACCGACAUGCACCUUGGAAUGCACACAGUACCACCUAACCUAUUCUAUAUGCACUCUAAACAUCAUUUUAAAGCACCUGUUGAUGGAAUUGCAGGAGGAACUCAUGAAGGCAAGGAAGAUGAAAGAAAAAGGAAAGCAGCUGCCAAGCCUUCCCCCCUGUGAACGCCAUGUCUCAGUUAGGUAUGAAAUAAAACUUCACCUUUCUUCAUUGAUACAUAAACGAGUUCCUCCUGGAGAGACAACAGGCACAAACACUGCCGCAGUGUUGUCUGCUGUUUAUUCUCAGUGUGAGAAUGACUUCUCAUCUCCCUGGAACCACCAGCAACUGACAGGGCUCCUAGGAGAAUUCUGGCAGAAAUGUUUUUGCAGACAUCAACCGCAGAGCCCAUGGCUGCUGCUGUGCAUGAAGGCAGCUAACUGUGUGAUCCCAGGACAAGAGGAUAGGCAGGUACACCCACACUUAUAGGCAUGUGGUUUGCAAUGGAGGGCUGUCCUGCUGUAGUCAUUGUCUCAAAGCUUUUAACAACUCCAGCAUAGUUCUCCUGAUGAUCAAAAAAUUAAGCAGAAUAAAAAUGGAGGAAGACCUUGACUUCAACAUUACACUUUUCCUGUAAACCAAGGACUUUGGAAGUACAGUUCUAUUGCCAAUUAGGCAAGGAGCAUUUUUUGUUGCUUUCUCUAUUUCAUGGAAACUAUUGAAAGAAGAGUUCCCCCUGCUGGUAAAUGCCUGAGUCAUAAAGGGACUCAGGGCUGGGACUUAAGACUCAGUGAAAAAAAGGCAGGAUGGAAUGGCUGCCUAAUUUGUAUGACCUUUGUGUUUUGUAUUUGCAGGUCUUUUUCUAAGACACUUAAAUUCAAAUCCUACGUGACUGAGUUCCCUUCGCCUCAAAGGAAGGUCUGUCAUCUGCUACCAAAGGAGGAAGCCUCAAGAUUUUGCUUUAGUAACUCCUUGGCAAGUCAGCUCCAACUAAAAACAUUAUUCACUUCAUCAGAAAUCUGAGCAUUCCAGCUGAAUUUCUGCCUUCUGCCCUCUGGUUGAAGACACUGCCGCUGUUUACAAGACAAGAACAAAGCCAACAGAACAGUUUAACAGCUAUUCCUCUGCAAAAGGUGCCUCCAAGAGGAACUAACACUUCUACUAAUACCAAGCAACACAGGAUGAAAACUUGAUUAGGUAGUAAACCCAGUUUCUUUGGACUUCCCUUGUAUUUAUCUGGAGGUAGCUGAAGUCAAGCAGGAACAUACAGCAGAAGCCACCAGGCAGGCUUCUGAGAAUGUGGUAAUCAGUCUGUCACUGGGGAGAGCUAUUGCAGCAGCCCUCCUGGCAGCUCACAGAGCUGGAGACCUGUUUUGUGGCAGCGCUGUUAAAAUCGGCCAUGAAAAAAGCCAGUGCUCAUUUGAAAAUAGCUUCUUGAAUUGCUUUUGCUGCCUCCUCUGGGAUCUCGCAGUACAUGAGGUCUGGAGCAAAGACAGCAAGCUGUCCAAAGAAAUCCAACAGAUUCAGGCUCAGGGUUAGCACAAGAGCCGACUUUAAGCAUUUCUUACUAAGAUGUGGAGGUGCAGCGAGAACCAAGUUGGAGCCAUACCAGGAAUAGGCUUUAGAGCUAAAGUGGGUCAAGGCAGCCUGCAGAAAUCAGGAGAGAAAAUCUCCUUUAUUUUCUUCCUUCUUGGCAGACUGAUCCUUAUGUCUGUGCUCUGAAUACAGACAAGCUGAAGAUACUGGGAAAGACAAAUCUUGGCUUAGAAAAUAGGCCCUAGAAAGCUCCCAGCUUUUUAAUUUCUGCUGGUCUUCCAGGCUGCUGCGGUGUGAGGGAGAGGACAGACAGAUCUGUGGGUCUGAGAAAACAUCCCUUGAGCCCACGGUAGCUUCUUUUUCGUGGUUAAGGAAUCAAUUAGCAGUGCAAAGUCUUUUCCUUCUUCCAAUUAGACACCCUUUCUGCUAGAGCUACAGCUGGACUCAGGGCAGAAAGAGAAGAACAGCUCAGGAAUAGAGACUGGUCUUCCUAACACCUACUCAAAAGUAGUUUGGAGGUUACCUCCUCCCACCCAGUCCUCAGGAAGCAACUUGGCUUGAGGUGCUGUAAAUUAAAGACAUCACAAACAGACUGACAAAGCAGUGGAGAAACGCUGGCGAUAUCUCAGUCCCUCAAUUUCUGAUCACACACUUCCUUAAGAGCAUCGGUGACUAAAGAACUACAGCUAACAAGCAAUCUGCUUCUGUGAAAUCAGAAGAGCUCUCUAUAGAGUUUGGAAAAGCAGUAACUUCACAGGUGAUGUGUCUGAAUAAUUUCCCUCAUCGUGUGGAGGAACGUGGCUGAGGAAGUGAUUUAUCCAGCAUUUCUCAGGUGUUUGUAUUUCACGCAGUGACAAAGGAGUUAUUCCUCCACUUACUUAACAGCAGGAAAAACAAGUCUGCAAAACUGUGGGUGUUUGUGUUGAUUCUGGUUGCUCAGUUUGAGCUCUACCCCUACACCAAGUCCUACAAACAGAGGUAAGAUGCCUUUACCAUUAAGACAACACUAUAAUUCCAAGCAAUCUAUGACACAGUACAAAGUCAUUCAAUUUUUCUGCUCCCUUUUAUGAAAUGGAAAUUAAUUACCUUAGACAUACUGUGAAGGAUAACAGCUCUCAGGGAAGCUGGGAUCUUCAUGCAGCAGCAGAUGCCAGCACAACGUUCAUCCAGCAGCAUCCAUGGAGUUCAAUCACAGGAGCUUUUAUUUCAUGGUUCUCUAUUACUGAGAACACGUUUGUUUGCUACUUAUCAUUUGACCUUUAAGGCAACACAAGUUAGCAAUGAGGUGAGAGUGACAGAAACCCUUUAAUAUCCUCAGGUUUAAUUCUGCAAGAAAUGUGUUGUUUGAGUAACGCUACAGGAGAACCAGACAGAUUGAAAUGAAAAACAAAUCUGAGGCCAAAAAAAUUUGUAAGAAAUACUGCAGGGGUGGGGGGUAGAAGGGGCUGGAAAGGGAGACUUACAACAGCCUCUCAGUAAAGAGAUCAAGAUCCCAUCUGGAGGGGCAAAAGGCCAAAGCCACAGAACAGAUGGAGACCAAGUGACAGCUGGUGGAAACGUGCUUUCAUGUGUAAAGUUUGUUCUGUGGAGAAUUCUGCUCUCCAACUCUGAAGGCAUCAUUAUGAUAACAGCUCCUCCCCCAUACAGCACUGGGGACCCGGUCUGCGCUCAGGAGCGGGUGUCAGCGAAAGCUCACCAUGAUGGCGGUUAAUUAACAAGGGCCCUUUCAACAUUUAGAAGCUGUUGUCACACAACCUUGGCACAAGUUUAGCAGCAGAGGAUCCUGUUCCUUCCUCUGCGGGGGGAGAUGAAAAGAAUUAAUUUUAACCCCGGUGGUUAAACAGAUUUUGUGUACGUUGUUACAUAUGCCAAGGGUUGCCUGUUCAGAAGGGUGAAGAAUACAUUGCAACACGUUGCGUUAAUGGCAGAAUGUCCAAUGGCUGCUCCAUGAGCUCCGUUAUGGAACAGAAAUAAACCAUAUAAUCGACCAGAAGAGAGGCUGAUCUUCAACACAGGCAUUUAAUCCUUCCCAGGCUGUACCAUGCUAACAUCAUUGUGACAGCCCUUUGUAGAGAAAGGUGAGCUCUGCCUCCCCACCAUCAGCCAAGUCCUACAAUUAAAGUCCUGGAGAAGCGGCCAUCGUUUCCUUUUCUUUAAUAAAGAUAUGAAGAUUUGUUUGUUUUGUUAAGGCAAGAAUGUCAUCCUGCUGCUAGGAUCUAUUACUGCACCUUUGAUUCCAGAAACAAACAGAACACUUUGAUUACGGUUAAAACUGAAACGAUUCGUAAUUAAAAAAA